GCACUUCCUCGCCCACUCGGGUUGUGUCCUCCCUGUCGACAAAUGAGACGGUCCGGCUGCCCCAGCCAGGACUGCGGGUCCUGCCUGGCGGCGUGGCCUGUGCCAGGAGGGAUGGACUCAGGUCCAGGUCAGUUGACCCCGUGCCGUCUGUGCUGGCAACGAUUGGGCUGCCGGGCAGGACGGGCGGCUCCCGCCCACUCUGAAAUCCCCUGCAGGUCGGAAAGCACCACCGGGACCUCUCCAGGAGAGUUCCCGAAGCUGCAGCCGUCCACUGAGAGGCCCGUCCGUGCAACAUGGCCGCCGUGGCUGACCUGCCUAUCGUCCAGGAGGGGAACAGGCCCUGCUGCUCCAUCCAGGACGGCACUGGCCCCCGAACUGACCUCACCAAGGGCCGUCAACGUCCAACCAACACUACCUGCCAAUGGACCCAGCACAUGGGGACUCUGUCACCUGUGCCCCUAGUGACAGGCCCCUUGAGAGUCCAGCAAGGCCACUGGUCUGUCCACUCCUCCCAAUCCCACCUAAGCAUCCCUUCCCCACCUCACGGGCAUCUUUUCUUGGUACAGACCCCAGAGUCCAAGGCGAGAGCUGGGGACCUUGUGUCCCUCCUGCAGGUGAUCAGGACGCGUGGGCAGAUGGUGGGACGACAGGGAUGGACAGCAUGGAGCGGGGACCCCACAUGGCAAACCUGUGUCCACACGCAGAGAAGCCGACGGAGACUGGGGAGGGGACCUCCUCCUCGCGCCCGCGGAGCUGCCCUGCCCUGCCCCGACCCCUGGCCAGCCCCUGCUCCCCGCUGCCACCUGUACCUGCCUGGGGGCAGCCGGGGUCACCUGCUGACUCCUGUUCACGGGUCGUCGUGUGACGUGGUUGAUUUCCUCAGCGUCCACUCCCGUGAAGUCCACGUGCAAGGGCCAGUUCUCUGGAAGCACAGCUGGACUCUAGGAACCAUUGUUGCCCAGAGUCGCUUUAAGCCAACGGGAACAGAGAGCUUCCGCGGGGACAAGGUGGACCGCGGCCGCACCAGCUGAGCACGGGGGCGCGCUGCUGCUGUCCCUGUGGGUGACUGACCCCUCCGGGGCCUCCUGGGUUUCCCGCCCCUCAUCCAGGACCACAGGGGACGUUGGCUUUGUCCUGGGUGUUUCUCGGCAUUUUCCCGAUUCUCUCCAACAGGCGCGAGUCUCUUCUAGAACCAGAAAGAGGAACGAGCGUGUUCUCGCGCAGGGUCAGGGCGGGGCUCUCGCCGCCGCGGUGCUCUCCACGUCUGGGGCUGAGCCCCCUCUGCCAGCGGGCCAGGGCCCGGGUCUGUGCAGCAGGUCACUUGGUCCCCACGCUGGCGCUGAGUGUUCCACAGACUUCCUUCUGAAGUCACAGCUUCCUUGACCAGGACAGCCAUUUCGAGGGCACAGUUCAGUGGCCUUGGUCAUUUCCAGGGUUGGGCAACCGUCCCCACUAACAGUUCAAACACCCCAAAAAGGAAACCCCAGGGCAUCGCCAGUGAGGCCACACCGCCCCCUCGGCCCCAGCAGUGCUGGCCCCUGUCUGCCUGGGGACUGGGGCGGCUGGGUGUGACGAGGGGACCCUGGAACCCCUGCCCUGCGAUUCCUUCACAGAGUACGGCCAGGGUCACCCGCACGGCGUGGACAGAAGGUCCCUCGGGGUUGAGCGGCUGGCUGGUCUCCUUCCUGUGGCCGAGGGACUUGGCCUGGGUCCUCUCUUUCACUGCCGUGACAUCCUGAACUUCCAGGCACAAGUGGCUGCUCUUGCUGGUCUUGGGCACAGCUGGAGUGGAGCUGGGGCCCCCGGUGACUCCAUGUUUCGCAUCCUGAGGUUUCCCCACGGCUGUCCACCGUGGUCAUGCCCGUGUACCUGGCCACCAGCAGUGAACCGGGGCUGGUUCUCUGGACCUCACCAACUUCCUGUCACCUUCUCACUUUCGCUCCUCAGUGGCUGUGGAGCGGCCCCUCCUUCUGCCUGGACUCUGCGAUUCCCUGAAGGUGCGGACGGUCGGGCACCUGUUCAUGAGUCAGUGGCCGCUCGUGUUUCCUGGGAGAAAGGCCCGUUCCCGCGCCUUGGCCACUGCUAAUGAAGUCGCCUCUUCACUGCUGACGUUCUAUACUCUGGAGGCGAGGCCUGGCCAGGUGCAGGGUGGCCGUCUUUCCUCCUGCCCUGUGGCCUCUCUCACUCUCGUGACAGUCUUCUCUGACCCACUCAGGUUUCUGAUUCUUACGAAGUCCAGUUUAUCUAUUUUUCUUUGGUUUAUCUAUUUUUCUGACACCACAGAUUCCAAGGUUCUGAAGAUUCGAACCUCUGCUUCCUCUAAGAGUCGUGUGGGUUUUCUCCUUCAUGGUAGGUCUUUGCUCUAUUUGGAAUUCGGAGUCCAUCUGCAUGAGGUAGGUAUUUUUUUAGUUGUCGACGGACUUUUAUUUGUGUGUGGGGCUGAGAACUGAACCCAGGGCCCCCCACAUGCGAGGAAGUUGCUCUACACUGAGCUCGACCUUUGCCCAUAGGUGCCUGGUGUCCAGCACCCACCCCCCCGAAGACUCUUCUGCAUUCAUGUCUCGACGCACUUCUCAAACACCGGCUGACCCCAGGCUGUCUGUGGCCGGUGUGCAGCAGCCGCGGGCCUUUGCCUAGGUCUCGCGUUCUCGAUCGCCGGACUCCCUUAUCAUCCUGCUGGUCCUGGAGUCGGUCCUCGUCGUUCUCGCCACGCUCACCUCCAACAGAGCUGGGCUGCCACUCCCUCCCCAAGCCACCGCCGAGUCUCUCUUACCGGCUGUCCUGGCUCCAUCCUCCAGGACAGCAUUAGACACCGGCACUUAGGGGGACUGAUGUUGGUGCGAAGCCAGCAGUGGGGUUAGUUUGGAGAUUUUUGUCGUCUGUCUGUCGUGUGCCCUUCUCCGGCCUUUCUUAGGCACCAUUCACACGCGGUGGCACUAGUGAGUCUUAAGUGUGCCAGCCGAUCCAUCCUAAGCCCAGGGAACCUUCACCUGGGUCUGAACCCGUGUUACCACCGCCGAAUCCGACAGUGGGACGUGCCUUCCACCCACCCAGGCAGCCCCCAGAGGCUCCCCUCCAUUACUCCAUUACUUUCACACACAAAAAAAAAUCCCUAAGGUGCCCGGUGACAUCUAACUUGAGAUAAACCACCUUCAGUGGUGUCUGGCACACUGGGACGCACUGUACUAGGGUCACGGGGGCUUUUCUGGACUCCCUCUGUAGCUGGGUGACCUGUGCUGGGCACUCCCUGACCUCGUCACCCCUGGGGAGGUCUGCCUGUCCCUGAACCUCAGACGCUGAAGUCGCAGAGUGGGAGCCGCCGGGCACUGAGGUCCGAGACCCAGCCACGCGCGUCACAUUUCCAUCCCUAUGACACUCAACUUAGGAGGAGGAAGGUUACGGUGGCUCCUGGGUGUGGAGCCUCUGG
rnacentral:lncRNA from 1 species